GGCUUAUUAGCUCAGUUGGUUAGAGUGUCGUGUUAAUAACGUGAAUGUCGCAGGUUCAAAACCUGAAUGUGCCA
rnacentral:tRNA from 1 species